AUUGAACGCUGGCGACAUGCCUUACACAUGCAAGUCGAACGGCAGCACGGGUGCUUGCACCUGGUGGCGAGUGGCGAACGGGUGAGUAAUACAUCGGAACAUGUCCUGUAGUGGGGGAUAGCCCGGCGAAAGCCGGAUUAAUACCGCAUACGAUCUACGGAUGAAAGCGGGGGACCUUCGGGCCUCGCGCUAUAGGGUUGGCCGAUGGCUGAUUAGCUAGUUGGUGGGGUAAAGGCCUACCAAGGCGACGAUCAGUAGCUGGUCUGAGAGGACGACCAGCCACACUGGGACUGAGACACGGCCCAGACUCCUACGGGAGGCAGCAGUGGGGAAUUUUGGACAAUGGGCGAAAGCCUGAUCCAGCAAUGCCGCGUGUGUGAAGAAGGCCUUCGGGUUGUAGAGCACUUUUGUCCGGAAAGAAAUCCUUGGCCCUAAUACGGUCGGGGGAUGACGGUACCGGAAGAAUAAGCACCGGCUAACUACGUG
rnacentral:rRNA from 1 species